AGAGUUUGAUCCUGGCUCAGAACGAACGCUGGCGGCAGGCUUAACACAUGCAAGUCGAACGCCCCGCAAGGGGAGUGGCAGACGGGUGAGUAACGCGUGGGAAUCUACCCAGAACUUCGGAACAACUGAGGGAAACUUCAGCUAAUACCGGAUACGCCCUACGGGGGAAAGAUUUAUCGGUUCUGGAUGAGCCCGCGUUGGAUUAGCUAGUUGGUGAGGUAAUGGCUCACCAAGGCGACGAUCCAUAGCUGGUCUGAGAGGAUGAUCAGCCACACUGGGACUGAGACACGGCCCAGACUCCUACGGGAGGCAGCAGUGGGGAA
rnacentral:rRNA from 1 species